GACGAACGCUGGCGGCGUGCUUAACACAUGCAAGUCGAACGGAAAGGCCCUGCUUUUGUGGGGUGCUCGAGUGGCGAACGGGUGAGUAACACGUGAGUAACCUGCCCUUGACUUUGGGAUAACUUCAGGAAACUGGGGCUAUACCGGAUAGGAGCUCCUGCUGCCUGGUGGGGGUUGGGAAGGUUCGGCGGUUGGGGAUGGACUCGCGGCUUAUCAGCUUGUUGGUGGGGUAGUGGCUUACCAAGGCUUUGACGGGUAGCCGGCCUGAGAGGGUGACCGGCCACAUUGGGACUGAGAUACGGCCCAGACUCCUACGGGAGGCAGCAGUGGGGAAUAUUGCACAAUGGGCGGAAGCCUGAUGCAGCAACGCCGCGUGCGGGAUGACGGCCUUCGGGUUGUAAACCGCUUUCGCCUGUGACGAAGCGUGAGUGACGGUAAUGGGUAAAGAAGCACCGGCUAACUACGUG
rnacentral:rRNA from 1 species